CUGCUCUGAAGACCAGACCAGCUGGUUGCUCACAGUCUCCACAAUCAUGUUGGUAGCAUCUUCAUCUUGGAACAGGGCUUGGACCUGUUGAAGGUUGCCGGAGAACAGGGCAUUGUGCACAGCUGGGUCUCGGCAGGAGCCACAGUGCCCCUCACCUGUGACCCAGAGAGAGAAGCAGCUGAGGUUAUAAAUAGGCCCUUAGCUGUGCUGGUAAACAGCUUGCUCUGAGUAAUGUGCCUUGUGAAGAGAAGUAUUGGACCAACCCUGGGCACAGUGCUUCAUGCCCCUGCACAUGACCUGGGAGGCUUAGCUGAGGCCAUUCAUGAACCCGAGAGUCCACCUCCUCCUACUUCUCUGGAUUGAGUCUUUUGGAUUGGCAAGAGUUGAGGCUUCACAGUGUCAUCAAAUUGGAGGCUACCGUGUAAGUUUCCUGGAUCCUGAGACAAAUCAUCAUCAUCAGGUUACCAAUGUCUGUAUUCCUGAAAUUUUUCUGGAUGGAAUCAAUCUCACCUAGACAACCUCAGAGGAGUGGAGCAGAAGCCAGAAUGGAAGACAAAGCAAGUGUUGGCACCUGGAAGGUCAUUUCUAGCUCCCCUUCCUCUGCGCCACCACCUCCACCUGAUCUGACCUUCAGCAUUUACUGAGGACUACACUACAUGCACCUGUGUAUCAGCUUGGUUAGCUCUCAAGAGACACUCACCCUCCGGUAUACAAGUUUGCCAUCAGACACUCUGGGACCACCAAGAGCCAGCUGUUGCUCUAGGUUCUGUUAUUUCAUUGCUUGGCACACAGCUGGGCCAAGAAUAGGAGAGGUGCCCUGUCCCUAAAAGGCAUCUCUUUGGGAGUCAGGCAGUAGCGCAUCAGGUUAAGCGCACAUGGUGCAAAACGCGAGGACUGACGUAAGGAACCUGGUUCGAGCCCUUGG